rnacentral:misc_RNA from 1 species
GAUGAAGAACGCAGCGAAAUGCGAUAAGUAAUGUGAAUUGCAGAAUUCAGUGAAUCAUCGAAUCUUUGAACGCACAUUGCGCCCGCCAGCAUUCUGGCGGGCAUGCCUGUUCGAGCGUCAUUUCAACCCUCGAGCCCCCCCGGGGGCCUCGGUGUUGGGGGACGGCACACCAGCCGCCCCCGAAAUGCAGUGGCGACCCCGCCGCAGCCUCCCCUGCGUAGUAGCACACACCUCGCACCGGAGCGCGGAGGCGGUCACGCCGUAAAACGCCCAACUUUCUUAGAGUUGACCUCGGAUCAGGUAGGAAUACCCGCUGAAGUUAAGCAUAUCAAUAAGCGGAGGA